AUGAUGUUAAUGAAAUGUCUGCAAGAAAAACCACCAAGCUCAGAUACCACUGGGGCCUCCACCACUGUCUACUCAAUGGAAGCCAACGGUGAUCCCUGUGCCGAUUUUGAUCCAGAAAAGGAGGAAGGGGAAGUGCAGUACUUGGUUAAAUGGAAAGGUUGGUCAUACAUCCACAGCACAUGGGAAAGUGAGGACUCCUUGCAGCAGCAGAAAGUGAAAGGCAUUAAGAAGCUGGAGAACUUCAAGAAGAAAGAAGAAGACAUCAACAGUUGGUUGGAAAAGGUCACCCCAGAAGACGUAGAGUAUUUCAACUGCCAACAGGAACUGGCAGCUGAGUUGAACAAACAGUACCAGAUUGUGGAAAGAGUGAUUGUUCACAACCGCAAGUCCUCCUCUAAUGAGCCAGAGUACCUUUGCAAGUGGAUGGGACUUCCCUACGCAGAAUGUAGCUGGGAAGAUGAAGCUCUGAUCAGCAAAAAAUUCCAGUACUGUAUUGAUAGCUUCAACAAUAGGAACAACUCCAAAGCCAUGCCUACUCGGGACUGCAAGGUGCUGAAGCAAAGGCCUCGUUUUGUGGCCUUGAAGAACCAACCUUCCUACAUUGGUGGGGAGAAUCUGGAACUCCGCGACUAUCAGCUGGAGGGCUUGAAUUGGUUGGCUCAUUCUUGGUGCAAGAACAACAGUGUCAUCCUGGCGGACGAGAUGGGCUUGGGGAAGACCAUCCAGACCAUUUCUUUCCUCUGCUACCUCUUCUAUCAGCACCAGCUCUAUGGCCCCUUUCUGAUUGUGGUGCCUUUGUCAACCCUAACCUCAUGGCAGAGGGAGUUUGAGAUCUGGGCCCCUGAGGUCAACGUGGUUGUGUACAUUGGAGAUCAGCUGAGCAGGAAUGCUAUCCGUGAGUAUGAGUGGGUCCAUUCUCAGACCAAACGGUUGAAGUUCAACGUGCUGAUUACAACCUAUGAGAUCCUCCUGAAAGACAAGGCCGUUUUGGGAAGCAUCAACUGGGCCUUCCUAGGAGUGGAUGAAGCCCACCGCUUGAAGAAUGACGAUUCUUUGCUCUACAAGACACUGAUCGACUUCAAGUCCAACCACCGCCUGCUCAUCACUGGGACACCCCUUCAGAAUUCCCUGAAGGAACUGUGGUCCCUGCUGCAAUUCAUCAUGCCAGAGAAGUUCGAAUCCUGGGAAGACUUUGAAGAGGACCAUGGCAAAGGACGAGAGAACGGGUACCAGAGCCUGCAUAAGGUCCUGGAGCCCUUUCUCCUGCGCAGGGUGAAGAAGGACGUGGAAAAAUCCCUCCCAGCCAAAGUAGAGCAGAUCCUGAGGGUGGAGAUGUCUGCCCUCCAGAAGCAGUAUUACAAAUGGAUUUUAACAAGGAAUUACAAAGCCCUGUCCAAGGGAACACGUGGCAGCACUUCUGGCUUCCUGAACAUCGUGAUGGAGCUGAAGAAAUGUUGCAAUCACUGUUACCUGAUCAAACCUCCAGAAGAGAAUGAGAGGGAAAACAGCCAGGAGAGGCUGCAGUCUUUAAUCAGGAGCAGUGGGAAACUCAUCCUUCUGGACAAACUGCUCAGCAGGCUCCGUGCGAGGGGCAACCGAGUCCUCAUCUUCUCCCAGAUGGUGAGAAUGUUGGACAUCUUGGCGGAAUAUCUGACCAUCAAGCACUACCCUUUCCAGCGCCUGGACGGUUCUAUCAAAGGAGAAAUCCGGAAGCAGGCUCUGGAUCAUUUCAACGCCGAAGGCUCGGAGGACUUCUGCUUUCUACUCUCCACACGUGCUGGCGGCCUGGGGAUCAACUUGGCGUCGGCUGACACAGUGGUGAUCUUCGAUUCGGACUGGAACCCCCAGAAUGACCUACAGGCUCAGGCUCGGGCUCAUCGGAUUGGCCAAAAGAAACAAGUAAAUAUCUAUCGCUUGGUUACAAAGGGAACAGUGGAAGAGGAGAUUAUAGAAAGAGCAAAGAAGAAAAUGGUGCUGGACCAUCUUGUGAUACAGCGAAUGGACACCACAGGCCGGACAGUUUUGGACAACAGCUCUGAUAGAUCCAAGACAAACCCCUUCAACAAGGAGGAACUGACCGCCAUUUUGAAAUUUGGAGCCGAAGAACUUUUUAAAGAACCCGAAGGGGAAGAAUCUGAACCACAAGAAAUGGACAUUGAGGAAAUCUUACGCCUGGCUGAGACACGAGAGAAUGAACCAUCCACAAGUGCAACAGACGAACUGCUUUCACAAUUUAAAGUAGCAAACUUUGCUACAACAGAAGAGGAAGAAGCCGAGGCGGAAGAGAAAUCUCAGAAGGAGUGGGAAAGCAUCAUUCCUGAGGAACAAAGGAAGAAAGUGGAAGAAGAGGAGCGGCAGAAAGAACUUGAGGAGAUAUACAUGCUGCCCAGGAUUCGCAGCUCAGCCAAAAAGGUAAUUUUUCUAGUCGAAUCAGAUGUUGAAAUAAAGAGGAAGCUCCAGAGGUCUUCGGGCUCAGAUACCGAGACAGAGGACUCUGAUGAUGACAAAAGGCCCAAACGCAGAGGACGCCCUCGCAGUGUUCGGAAGGACACAGUGGAAGGCUUUACAGACCCUGAAAUCAGAAGGUUGGCAGAGUCAAAAAUUUGCUAUGGAGCACCUUUAUUACGUUCCAUCUCCCUUUUUAGACUGGAAUGCCUCGCUCGGGAUGCUGAACUGGUAGAGAAAUCGGUAGCUGAUCUGAAACGUUUGGGAGAACUUCUCCAUAACAGUUGUGCUUCAGCCAUGUGCAAAGGAUCUGGACCAGGGAAGAGAAAGGGGCCCACAAUUAAGAUCUCUGGAGUCCAGGUGAAUGUGAAAGCAAUUAUUCAACAUGAGGAGGAGUUUGCGAUGCUCCAUCAGACCAUUCCCAGUGACCCAGUGGAGAGGGCAAGGUUUCGUCUGAACUCCCGUGUCAAAUCUGCCCAUUUUGAUGUAGACUGGGGAGUGGAAGAGGAUUCUUCCUUGCUGCGGGGGAUUUAUGAGCAUGGAUGUGGGAACUGGGAGCUCAUCAAGUCAGACCCAGAACUGAACCUCACUGAAAAGAUUUUACCAGCUGAGACAGAUAAAAAGCCACAGGGGAAGCAGCUCCAGGCGCGAGUAGAUUAUCUGAUGAAGCUUAUCAAAAGAGACAUGAAGAGGAAAGAGAACCCGAACAAGACAGAGGAGGUCAGUUCCGUAACCAAGCUAAAUUUGCUCAAGUGGGCUUCAUUAAUGCUACGUAUUAUUUGGGAAGUUAGCCCAUGGAAAACUCAGGCUUCCAGUCAGUGUGGCAGAAAUCAUGGACACAGGAAGGAAGGGGCUAAAGUAAAGAAAUGGAAGGGGCCCUUUAUCAGGAAGAAACUGCUGGGUCAGGGUCCCGUCCACAUUACGGCAGGAAGUGACCCUGUCCCCAUUGAAGAAGAGGAAGAGGAUGAGUUAGACCAUGCAACCUUCACCAUUUGCAAAGAGCUGAUGAGGCCAGUUAAGAAGUCCCUGAAGCAGCUGGAUAAGCCAGAAAGAGGACUUACAGACCACGACCAGCUGGAGCAAACACGGAGUUGCCUACUCAAGAUCGGAGACCACAUUGCUGAAUGUUUGAAAAUCCACACUGAACAGGAAGUCUUUAACGUAUGGAGAAGGAAUCUAUGGGUAUUUGUCUCCAAGUUUACUGAAUUUAAUGCCAAGAAAUUACAUAAGAUAUAUAAGAUGGCUAACAAAAAGCGAUCCCGGGAACAGGAGGUAAGAACAGAGGUGUGUGUGUUUGUGUUGUGCAGUAGAAUGCAAGGAAGGAGAGAGAGGGAAGGAAUGGGAACAUCUUGGAGCUGGAAGGGACCUUGGAGGUCUUCUAAACCAACCCCCUACUCAAGCAGGAGACCCUAUCCCAUCUUGGACAAGUGGCUCUCCAGUCUCCAUUGGUGGACUUGCAUUGCUUUUUCUUCAAGUUGUCUGCCAAAUGCAACUGUGUGUGUGUGUGUGGGGGUCCCCUAG
ensembl:lncRNA